GAUAAACGCUGGCGGCGCACAUAAGACAUGCAAGUUGAACGGACUUAAUCGAAAUAUUUAUAUUUUGAAGCGGUUAGUGGCGGACUGGUGAGUAACGCGUAAGGAACCUGCCUAUUAGAGGGGAAUAACAGUGAGAAAUCAUUGCUAAUACCGCAUAUGCCAUAGAUAUCACAUGAUAACAGUGGGAAAGGAGCAAUCCGCUAAUAGAUGGCCUUGCGUCUGAUUAGAUAGUUGGUGGGGUAACGGCCUACCAAGUCGACGAUCAGUAGCCGGACUGAGAGGUUGAACGGCCACAUUGGGACUGAGAUACGGCCCAGACACCUACGGGAGGCAGCAGUCGGGAAUAUUGCGCAAUGGAGGAAACUCUGACGCAGUGACGCCGCGUAUAGGAAGAAGGUUUUCGGAUUGUAAACUAUUGUCGUUAGGGAAGAGAAAGGACAGUACCUAAGGAGGAAGCUCCGGCUAACUACGUG
rnacentral:rRNA from 1 species